CUGACAACAAUAUGGUGAGACUUCCCUCCCUCUGGCUCGGGGCCACAGGCACCAUCAGAGCACACACCACGUACUAGGAGUGGGCAGAAUAGCAGGAAAAGGUCAGACUGAACACUUCCUUCUUUUGAAAGAAAUACACCUUAGCUCAGGUGCUUGUCUGUUGAGCAGAGAACAUAUCUGUGAGGCAUUUGUCAAACAAGCAGUGCCGCCGAGGGUGGGAUGUGGAACUCCUAACCAGGACAAGUCGGUCACAAGUGACCCUCCUUGAUAAUGAUGAGCAAUCCUAACAAAAGAGGAUCUUAGGGGGAAAGAGCCAUCUCACCCCGGAGUGGUGAUAAAGGAGAAAGGGAAAGUGCUAGGCAAUGUAUAAUAUUUGGAUCUGUUUAUCUUGAGUGAGAAGGAAAACAGGAAUGAAUGGGCCUCAGAGGGCCAUGUGACAUCCCCCGUCAGGAGGUCUUACAGGGACAGGGCAAGUGUCCAGGCCUCAUUUGAGAAGAUGCAGCAAAUGCCAAUUCUCCUUUGCCUCCUUGGAAUUUGUAUCCUUCACUGUAAGAGGUUUCUUCAUUUAAAAAUGCGAGGAAUAGAAAAUGAAUAAUUAAAAAACUUUUAAUUUUACAAAUUAAAAGAUAAAAUGGUUGGAGUUCCCUGAUGGCUCAGCAGGUUGAGGAUCCAGCAUUGUCACUUCUGUGGCACGGGUUCAAUCCCUUGCCCUGGAACUUCCACAUGCCUCUGGCAUGGCCAAAAUAAAAAAGGAUAUUGUUAUGUUUUCCAUUAUCUUCUGCUCUGGACAUCACCCACAGCUAGCUGGUUCCUUAUCUAUUCUACUGUCUAAGUUAUCUUCAGGGAAAAUCUGGAUCCCUUGGGAGGCAAAGCAUAUAAUAAGGAGUCUCUUAUUCAUUUUAAUUGCCCAUUUCUCUUAUCUAUUAUGAACACAAUGUCACAAAUAAAUAAACAUUCAAAAAUCCUACCACUCAAAUAACACAGACAUAAUUACACAUGUCCCACAAAUAUUUGUUUAUAAUCUACAUGGUGUUUACAGGUCAUAGUCAUCAUUUUUAAGCUACAUGUCUUUAUGUUAAGAACCACACAUACAGAAAAGAGGACACAUCUUGAAUAGAUGGCCCAAUGAAUUUUCGGGAUUAAACACACCCACAAUAACAAACAUCCUCAAAUAGAACAUUACCCAAAGCCCAGAGCUCUCCUCAUUUCCUCUCCAGUUACUACCCAAAGCCCCACAGUUACUCGGGAUCCUGACCCCUUUUACCGCGAAUCAGCUUUGGCGACUGUGUAAAUGGAAUCAAGCAACAUACAUGCUUUCCUGUCUGGCUGCUUCAUGCAACAUUGUGAGAUUCAUUUUUGUUAUUGCAUGGGACAGUAGUUUGUUCGUGUUCAUUGCCAUAAAUGAUUCCUUUGUAUGACAUAUGGAUAAUUUUUCCAUCUAUUCCACAACUGGACAUUUGAGUAGUUUCCAGUCUGGGGCUAUUAUGAAUAGUAUUCCAUGAAUAUUCUCACAAAUGUUUUGGUUCAACAUGUACAAAUUUGUUAAGUAUCUAAGAGUGGAAUUGUUAAAUCAUAUGUUCAGCUACAGUAGAUAGUGUUAAACGGUUUUCAAAAUUGGUUUUAACAAAUUACAUAUCAUUGAUUCACAUCUUUGCCCACUGAUUCAUAUCUUUGCCCAUACUUGGUGAUAUCAGUCUUUUUAUUUUAUUUUAUCUUAUUUUAUUUUAUUUUGGCCAUGCCCAUGGCACGUGGAAGUUCUCGGGCCAGGGAUCAAACCCACACCACAGCAGCAACCAGAGCCAUAGCAGCGACAGCACUAGAUCUUUAACUUGCUGUACCACAAGAGAACUCCUCAGCUUUUUUAAAUUUCAGCAUAUCCAGUGAGUCUGUACAUGUAUGUCAUUGUGGUUUUUUGAAUGCCAUUUUCAUGAUGAUUCUUUGUUUUUACACAUUAUAGAUCAUCCUUUGAAGUCCUAUCUAGUCUUUUGAGUCUUCUGAUUCUUCCUUUUCUGGUAUGGAAUUUUUAAAAUAUACACAAAAGCAAAAUAUGAUAUGUACACACAAAGGAAUAACAUUCACCCUUUUAAAAGAAGGAAGUUUAGGAGUUCCCUGGUGGCCUAACGGGUUAGGGAUUCAGUGUUAUCACUUUCGUGGUUCUUUCGAUCUCUGGCCCUGAAACUUCCACAUGCCCCAGGUAUGGCCGAAAGAAAGAAAGAACCUUUUUUUUUCUUUUUCAGCCACCCCAUGGCAUAUGGAAGUUUCCAAGCCAGGUAUGGGAUCUGAGCCAGAGCUGCGAUCUAUACCACAGCUGCAGCAAUGCUAGAUCAUUAACCCACUGCACCACGUCAGGAACUCCCAGAAAAAAGUACCUAUCUUUAAAUGAACAGAUUGGCCUUCUGGACAUGACGGUUUUAUUUUAUUUAUUCAUUUGUUUGUUUGUUUUGAAGGAUGUUACAGAAAUAGGAAAACUGACCUUCCUCUUAGUUCUAUAAUUCUAGAAGAUUUUUCCUGACAGUUGAGUCUUGGGCUGAAUAUGGACUGUGAUUAUCUUUGACCUCUUUGUAGUGACUUUUUGAAAGUGUUUCCCCUCCCCUAUGAAGGUCUGGGAGCUAGGUGGUGUUUUCAGAUCAUUCAUAGCCGUGACCCUACAUGCCUAGGUUAGGCCACCAAAAAAUUGCUUUAGGUGUCAUAUGCCAUUGUUGAGAAUAAACUGUGAUUGAAACAGACCGAUUUCAUGGAUGCCUGUUAGUGUGCCAGCUUUCUUAGAGACUUGGUGCUAUAGAUGAAUGUUCAUGUCCCCUCAAAUUCAUAUGUUGAAAUCUACUCCCUAAUGUGGUGGUAUAUGAAGGCAGGAUCAUUGGUGAUGAUUAGGUGGCUGGGUGGAGCAAUCAGUGAGAGGAUUAGUGCCCUUAUAAUGGAGACCCUGGAGAGCUCCUCCACCUCUUCUGCUAGGCCGAAUACAGCAAGGGGACAGCAUCUAUGAGCCAGGAAGCAGGCCCUCCCCAGACACAGACUCUGCUGGCCUUGAUCACGGACCCCCAGCCUCCAGAACUGUGAGAAAUAAAUGCUGUUUAAGCUACCCAAUCCUGUCGAUUUUUGCUAUAUAGCAGCCUGAGGGGAUUAAGAUAUGCCUCACCUUCUCCACCUCAACUAUAAUCUUUGACCAAGUCCUUUCUCUGGUAUCGCCCAUUUGAACUGCUACUCACUCCCCACUAAAGGCCACAGUCAGAAUUAGAUACCAAUGGUUUGUUUCUCUGGGCGACCCCUGGCCCAGUCCUAUUCCAGCCAUGGAAUCCCCCAUCCAGAGCCAAGUGAGAGCUUUCCUCAUUCAAGCCAUUUCCUGUCUGAAACAGAAACCAAGUCAAUGACUGCCCUAAACACUGUGGUCACUUUCAAGGAGGAUAGGAAUCAGCUUGGUGUAAAGGGCCCUUUUAUGGUUAUUUUUACUUUUGGGGGGCCCACACCCUUGGCAUGUGGAAGUUCCUGGCCCAGGAUUGAAUCUGAGCCACAGCAGGGACAACGCCAGAUCCUUAACUUGCUAGGCCACUAGGGAACUCCUGGUUAUUUUUACUUUUAUUAGAGCCUUGUCAGGAAACAUUGUUUUAUUUUUUUUUAUUGCUGUAUAGUUGAUUCACAAUGUUAAUUUCAGCUGUACAGCAAAGUGACUCAUUUAUGCAUACAUAUAAAUUCUUUUUUGAAAUAUUACUUUCCAUUAUAGUUUAUCCUAGGACAUUGAAUAUAGUUCCCUAUGCUAUACAGUAGGAUCUUGUCUAUCCCCUCCUUGGGUGAUAGCUUAAAUCUGCUAACCCCAACCUCCCAUUCCAUCUCUCCCCUAACCCCCACCCCUUUGGCAACAAGUCUGUUCUUGUCUGUGAGUCUUGUUUCUACUUCACAGAGGGGUUCAUUAGGAAAACAUUAUUUUAAUAGGCACUAAACCCAAGCUUAUUUUUAACCUAUUUAGGUCGCCAAUACUCUUCAACUUGAAGUAUUUAAGGCAAUUUGUACAGUCAGGUCUAAAUGCAAAGUACAAUUGUAAACCUUUCACUGAUUUUGGAGAAAAAUUUAUGCCAAAAUAUGCUAUCAGCUAUGUUCAAAUAGAUGAUUUCUAAGAUCCACUGUAGGUUUAGAAUGCUCUGAUUGUUAUGAAGUAAUAAAAAUGGAGACCACAGAGGAGAGAAGUGCAGUUACUUUCCCUGUUCUACACAUGAGACAACUAAGUCCUAGAAAGGAUGAAUAGACUGCUGCCAGGAUUCCCCAUGCCAGGAUUCUGAUUCUGGCUCCAAUGCACACACGUUCAACACCACUGCUCUCUGUAAAGGACACUGCCAUCCUCAUGUACCCAGCUAGACUGAAAGGAAAAAGGCAUCAGGCCUAAGCAAGAAUAUAGAUUGGAUAGAAAAAUGCACCACCAAUAAGAGUUAACAAGCCAUGGGAAAUGCUACUAUAAUGAAGCUAUGCCAUAUUUAAAGAGAUAGUACAUAUUCCUAUCUAGUGACAAUCAAGCGGGUGAACUUGCCUAAAUCAGAGACUAAAGGGACAGUGGAAGAACUUUUCAUUCUGAAGUUCUACAUCUAGUGAGGCCCAAGAGAGUCUAAUCUGUUUACCCACUGAAAGUGUUACUCAAAUACAGUUUCUACAGGAAGAGACUCAGUUACUUUAUCACUGUUUUGUCUGGCACAGAGAAGAUGAGAAAUAUUUACUGACUGUCCAGCUGGUUGAAUUCAAACAUGCUCUGGCAUAUUUUGGUGGGCAGAUGAAGUGGGCUAGCAAUGAUUUUAUUGAGAUGUGGGCUUGAUAUGAAAUAACUGAAUUAGUUGGGAGUGAUUGUAGAAGCCGUUGGGAUAAGACUCCCCAGACAGAUGGGAGGAAACCAUGGCUAUAGCCCUUGGCCCCAGGAGGAGAGCAUCAGGGUGGCUAAGUUUAGUAUGAUGGUCUUAACUGAGCUGUGGGGAAAAGAAUAGUUUACAUGCACAGUUCUGCAUCUAAAUUGGGUUUGGUGGGAGGAGGGAGGAAGUGGGAUAGAUGAGGAGGUUGGGGUUGGUGGAUGCACACUAUUGAAUCUGGAAUGGAUAAGCAGUGAGGUCCAGCUGUAUAGUAUAGGGAACUAUAUCCAAUCUCUUGGGGUAAAACAUGAUAGAGGACAGUAUGAGAAAAAGACCAUAUAUAUAUGUGUGUGUGUGUGUGUGUAUUUAUAUGUAGAUAUGUGUGUAUACACAGACACACACAACCCUAUAUAUGACUGGGCCACUAUGCUAUACAGCAGAAAUUUACACAAUACCACAACACUAUAAAUCAACUAUACUCUAAUAAAAAUAAAAUUAAAUUUUAAAAAAUCUUAGCCUUGAAAUAAAUAAGUAAAUAAAUUGGGUUUGGGAUGCACCUUAAGGGAAUUUGGGGCCAGUUUCCAAGAAGCAAAGGACUUCAUGAUCUAAAACAUUAGGUAGAGGGAGUUCCCAUCAUGGCACAGCGGAAACGAAUCCAACUAGGAACCAUGAGGUUGUCGGUUCGAUCCCUGGCCUCUCUCAUGGGUUAAGGAUCCAGCGUUGCUGUGGCUGUGGCAUAGGCUGGCAGCUACAGCUCUGAUUUGACCCCUAGCCUGAGAACCUCCAUAUGCCGUGAGUGUGGCCCUAAAAAGACAAAAUAAUAAUAAUAAUAAUAAUAAUAAUAAUAAAAUAUCAGGUAGUGAAAAAGUGGACCAUGAGUCUUUGGGAAGCUGGAAGCACAAAGUCGUUUGUUUCCAGCCUCAUUUCAGAACUUAGCAUGAAAGGAGGGAGAACCUUCUUUCCAUGACUCAUGGGAGAUGUUGGUGAUGCCAACAACUGUCAAUCAAAAUGGAUGAACAAGGUGGAGGCUAAAGGAAAAGUUUUAACGGUCAUUUGAAUGGAUGGUCUCUUGGAAACCAAAGCUCAAGCAGAAUGUCAGGAGCAACAGAGAGAAGAAGAGGUGGUUCCUUGAGUAUAAGAGGUCUGCAGCUUACUGGCUAUGACAUCUUGGUUCACCUGUCCUACUGCAACCAACUGACUCAAUCUCUGGGGCCUGUCUCCUACACGAGACAUCCUGGAACCAGGCUGGACAUUGGGAAGCUUUCUCUGUAUCUUCUGAUCCUUUCAAGAAGCAAUAUCCUUCAUCUUUACUGGAAAGUAUCUGGAUAAGUCUGCCAUUUGGGAACACAUGCCAUUAUCAGAGAACAGUGGAAAACAGGCUACUCUUGAAGUGUCCUCUUUAAAAACCUCCUAUAUUCAAAUGACUACAGGUGAAAAGUCUGACAAAAGAAAUUAACAUUUAUUUAUAUUAGCAACGACUUUGUUAUUUCCUCAAGGGACCCAGAGAAGAAAUUUGUCUUAUGUCUCAGUACCAAGAACAGUUUUGCUUCCUCCAAGCAGCUCUUUUUCUUUUAUGGUAUUUGAGCUGUGAAUCAUGGAACAGGUACAUGAAAAGGUGCUCUGCAUCACUGAUCAUCAGCGAAAUGCAAAACCACAAUAAGAUAUCACCUCCCCCCUGUGAAGGUGUCUAUUAUCAAAAAGAUGAGAGGUAACACAUGCUGACAAGGAUGUGGAGAAAAGGGAUCCCUUGUGCACUGUUGGUGGGAAUGUAAACUGGUGCAGCCACUGGAAAUGAGUGUGGAGGUUCCCCAAGAAAUUAAAAAUAGAACUACCCUAUGAUCUAGCAAUGCCACUUUUGUGUAUACAUCCAAAGGAACCAAAAAUCAUUAUGUCCGAGAUGUCUGUACUCCCAGCAUUCAUGGCAGCAUUAUUCACAAUAGCCAAGGUACGGAAGCAACCUAAGUGCCCAUCAACAAAGUGAUGGAUAAAGAAAAUGGGGUGUAUAUAUGGAAUAUUACUUAGCCUUAAAAAAAGAAGCCCUGUCAUUUGCACCAACAUUGAUGAAUCUGGAAAGGAUUAUGCUAGGUGAAAUAAGCCAGACAAAGAAGGACAAACACUGCAUGGUAUCACUUAUAGAUGGUAUCUUAAAAAAAAAAAAAAAGUCAAAUUCAUAGAAACAGAGAGUAGGAAAGUGGUUGCCAGGAGUUGGGGGUUGUGGAAAGUAGGAAGAGCCUGGUAAAAAGGGUACAGACUUUCAGUUGUAAGAUGAAUAAGCUCUAAAGAUCUAAUGUGUAAAAUGGUGAGUACAGUUGCUAAUACUGGAUCAUAUAAUUGAAAUUUGCUGAGAGAGUAAAACAAAUUUUCUCACCAAAAAAGUAAACACCUGAAGUUCCUGUUGUGGUGCAGUGGGUUGAGUCUGACUGCGGCAACUCAGGUCACUGCAGAGGCUUGGGUUUGAUCCACGACCCAACUCAGUGGGUUAAAGGAUCCAAUGCUGCUGCAGCUGCUGCCUGGAUUCAGUCCCUAGCCAGGGAAUUUCCAUAUGCCACUAGUGCAUCCAUUAAAAAAAGAGAGAGAGAAAGAAAGACAAAUGCCUCAAGUGAUGGAUGUAUCAAUAACUCUCCAUGGGGAGGAUCCUCUCACAAUAUAUCUGCAUAUCAAAUCAUCAUGUUGUAUACUUUAAAUAUCUUAUAAUUUUAUUGAUCAGUUAUACCUCAAUAAAGUGGAAAAAAA
rnacentral:lncRNA from 1 species